rnacentral:snRNA from 1 species
GUACUCUGAUCUCUCUUCAAUUGUCAAAUAAAUCUUUCGCCUUUUACUAAAGAUUUCCGUGGAGAGGGAUAUUAAAAAGAAACGUCUAAAGACGGUACAAGUUUUGAUGAAAUAAUAAAGUAAGCAUGUG